CCCGCCGCGGUUGUCAGGGCUCCUGCCCCGGAAUUGCAGGGCUGGUAUUAUUUUACUUAAUAAUGGUCCCAAAGCGCAAGGAUAGUGAGGGUGGCAAUUAGCAUAAGCCAGAGAAAAGCCCCAAAAUGCUUCCGUUAAGUGAAAAGGUGAAAGUUUUCAACCUGAUAAGGAAAGAACAUAGUACGCUGCGGCUGCAAAGAUCUACGGAGUAAAGAAAGAAAAGUUAUCUAUUGUCGCCAGACAUACACUGAAUGGUAGCUUUAUUUGAACAAUUCCCAUCCUUCCUUCCCGAGGAGCAGCAUUGUAGUCGCCAAGUGUCCUGAAGGAUCUGAUAGAACAGCAAGAAUUUCCAGGUAGAGCCAGUGAUUGAGCCAGCUGCACUCCGUGCUCAACCGGCCUGUGACCACGCGUUUCUAUCUCUGGCACCGGACCCGGUCUGGAGUCUCCAAACCCAGCAGAUCCCUGCGGUGCACUCCCGCGCGGCUCCUCCCGGGGGAGGAAGGUUCUGGGAAAUGAAAAUAAAUGAUCUGGAAGCCUCAGCUACUGGACAACUUUCUCUGGAAGUUGGAGAUCGUAAAGGCCUUGCACCUGAAGUGAGCUAAAUUCACCUCGCCUUGUCUACUGAGGGGAAGGAAAAGGGAAGUCACACCCCAGAGCUCGGCGAGCCCAUAAAAUGGCAGAGCUUCCUGGAGAAGGCUGCCCUGAACCCCAAGGCCCUGGCUGCCGGCGCUGUAAUGAAAUGCAUGACUACGGAAGACAAUAAUAAUUGCAGCAACGGCUCGUUCCAGCUCCCGGAUGAUUUGGUGCUGUCAGGAGUGCGCUGUCCUCUGACAUCCCAGGAGGCGAACGGCACCAGUGACUGCAGGCCCUGAUUGGGGCAGUGAAAUAUUGCUGGCAAAAAUUAAAAGGUCCCCGUGUCAAAAUAAUUCAUGAUAUGCAUAUCUUCCAUUCUGAUGAAACGGCUGAUAUCCGGAUUAGCAAGAUAAUAAAACUGAUCAGGCUACAGUUAAACAAUUUAAGUUGGAGAGCUGUUCAUUUUGUAGGUGUCACUUGUCAGAUCAAGGGGUCAAAGCAGAAUGAAAGGCUCUCCCCGGUAACCUUCCGAUGAUGUGGAUCUGGAAUGUUCUUCAUGAUUUGUCCAAAGUUUUCAUCAUCGGGCUGCCGACUAGCAUUACUGCGGCAGGCUGUGUUCUGACAUUCAAAUCCUCGGAAUGACAGGUUAUUAGGAGAGGAGAACAGGCUCUACAUACAUUAAGCGCCAUAUCUCUGACCUGUAAUGUGAACUGAUAGUGAUAUUGUAAUUGAGUGCGUCUGAAAAAAAGGAGGGGGGAGUCUUUAUUAAAACAUGGGAAUAGAAAGGAAAGCAUUUAUAUUUCUGAUGAUUUGUGGGUUUGUAAAAUAAGCUUUUUGGUGAUGAUUUAUUUUCCAUUUCUAGAAGGCUGAGUGGUGUGCAUAGUGUUUAUCUGGUGUAACAGUUAUUAAACUAAGAUAACACGAAUUCUCUCAGCCUCUCUUCACAUGCUGAGCAGGCACAGAUCAAAAGAGAUUUGUUCUAUUAAAGGCAGUAGCUUUAAAAUGAACAAAAUGGGCCCAAGUACAACCCAAGGCCAGGACGACUCCUCAGGAUGUUUGCCUUAGAGCUCUGGCUUCAUGCGCUGCUCUGCCUGAGGCUGAGCUCUCUCUCCUCCACGAGCCCAGCCAAGGAGGCUGGGCGGCCUCCCUUAUUGGUGUCAGCGACUCCAUUGUGGGGUGGUGUCAUGCACUGGGAAACUAAUUUAAUGUGCAUUAACGGGGUCUUAGGUGAUACCUUUCAGCUUUCUCAUGAAAUACCCUAGUCUUAGGGAGUGAGGCAGGCAAAUCACUGAAUUCAGUGGUGGCUGUGGGUCCCCAGAAAGAGCCUGACUCUUUGGUGACCAUAAAGAGACUCAGUGGGUAGGGGCACCCGGUUGGCUCGGUCGGUUGAGCGUCCCAACUCUUGGUUUCAGCUCAGGUCAUGAUCUCGGUCAGGGUCAUGGGAUUGAGCCCCACAUCGGGCUCUGUGCUCGGUGGGGAGUGUUCUUGGGAUCCUCUCUCUCCCUCUCCCU